CCCAAUUAUUGCCCGGGGCCCAUAUACCUUAUUAUAUAUUAAAAAAAACAAUUCAAAAGUCCAUUAAACAGUCUAUUUUACAUAUAUGUGGCCUAGUAACUAAAUAAAUGAAUACCAAAAUAAAAACCAAAUCUAAUACAAUUAAACCUAAUUUAGUCUAAAUUAACCCAAAUCGGCCCAAACCCGAUUACAAACCCAAUACCCAAAUUACAACCCACAAGCCCAAAAGUAAGAAAAAACCUAAGACCCUAGCAGCAGCAGCAGACCGUGCCUCCGUCCGUUUGCGCCGCAGCCAAACCCAAUCUCCCCUACGAGUGUUGCACCUCCGCGCGCGUGCGCUUCCUCUCUUCCAGGCUGGCUAUACUUGAAACAACAAAUAGCAAAAACACGAAGGAAAAUGCAAAUAACAGCAAGAAUAACAAAUUGGAUAUUUAUUCUAUUUUUCUAUUUUAUUUUAUUUUCAUUUUUCGCUAUAAAAAGCCAAUUGUAACACUAAAAUAAGGCCUCUCACUACACCAAAACAGGUUUUUAGCGGCGUUUUUUAGGCCUUUAGCGGCGCUUUUGAAAGCGCUGCAAAAAAUGCCGCUAAUGUUAAUGCCGCUAACGUUUGUGGCGUUUAUAGAAAUAAACGCCGCUAAAGGUCAUGUUCUUU
rnacentral:lncRNA from 1 species